rnacentral:rRNA from 1 species
ACAAGCGGUGGAGCAUGUGGUUUAAUUCGAUGAUACGCGAGGAACCUUACCUGGGCUCAAAUGUAUGUUGACGUAUUCUGAAAGGGAUACUUCUUCGGACAAUAUACAAGGUGCUGCAUGGUUGUCGUCAGCUCGUGCCGUGAGGUGUCGGGUUAAGUCCCAUAACGAGCGCAACCCCUAUCAUUAGUUGCCAUCAGGUCAAGCUGGGGACUCUAAUGAAACUGCCUACGCAAGUAGUGAGGAAGGUGGGGAUGACGUCAAAUCAGCACGGCCCUUACGUCCAGGGCUACACACGUGCUACAAUGGCCGGCACAGCGGGAAGCGAGGCAGUGAUGCCGAGCGGAUCCCUUAAAGCCGGUCUCAGUUCGGAUUGAAGUCUGCAACUCGACUUCAUGAAGCUGGAAUCGCUAGUAAUCGCAGAUCAGCCAAGCUGCGGUGAAUACGUUCCCGGGCCUU